rnacentral:rRNA from 1 species
CCUCAAGCUUGCUUGGGGUACUCGAGUGGCGAACGGGUGAGUAAUACGUGGGUAACCUGCCCUCUUCUUUGGGAUAAGCCCCGGAAACGGGGUCUAAUACCGGAUAUUCUGCUUCUGCCGCAUGGUGGGGGUUGGAAAGGUUUUUCGGUGGGGGAUGGGCCCGCGGCCUAUCAGCUUGUUGGUGGGGUGAUGGCCUACCAAGGCUUCGACGGGUAGCCGGCCUGAGAGGGUGACCGGCCACAUUGGGACUGAGACACGGUCCAAACUCCUACGGGAGGCAGCAGUC